CUACGGGUUGCUCCAGUAGGGAAUCUUCCGCAAUGGACGAAAGUCUGACGGAGCGACACCGCGUGAAGGAUGAAGCAUUUCGGUGUGUAAACUUCUUUUCUGGGGGAAGAAAAUCUGACGGUACCCCAGGAAUAAGGACCGGCUAAUCACGUGCCAGCAGCCGCGGUAAUACGUGAGGUCCAAACGUUAUCCGGAAUUAUUGGGCGUAAAGCGUCCGCAGGUGGUGAAAAAAGUCUGUCAUUAAAUACCAGAGCUCAACUUUGGUGCUGUGAUGGAAACUUUUUCGCUAGAGGAUGGGAGAGGUAUAUGGAAUUGUGCGAGUAGGGGUAAAAUCCGUAGAUAUGCACAGGAACACCAAAAGCGAAGGCAGUAUACUGGACCAUUCCUGACACUCAGGGACGAAAGCGUGGGGAGCAAAAGGGAUUAGAUACCCCUGUAGUC
rnacentral:rRNA from 1 species